rnacentral:rRNA from 1 species
GACGAACGCUGGCGGCGUGCUUAACACAUGCAAGUCGAACGGAAAGGCCCUGCGUUUGUGGGGUGCUCGAGUGGCGAACGGGUGAGUAACACGUGUGUAACCUGCCCUUGACUGUGGGAUAACUUCAGGAAACUGGGGCGAAUACCGGAGAGGAUCUCCUGCUGCAUGGGGGUGGUUGGAAAGAUUCGGUGUUGGGGGAUGGACUCGCGGCUUAUCAGCUGGUUGGUGGAGUAGUGGCUUACAAAGGCUUUGACGGGUAGCCGGCCUGAGAGCGUGACCGGCCACCUUGGGCCUGCGAUACGCCCCAGACUCCUACGGGAGGCAGCAGUGGGGAAUCUUGCACAAUGGGCCGAAGCCUGAUGCAGCAACGCCGCGUGCGGGAUGCCGGCCUUCGGGUUGUAAACCGCUUUCGCCUGUGCCGAAGCGUGAGUGACGGUAAUGGGUAAAGAAGCACCGGCUAACUACGUG